rnacentral:rRNA from 1 species
CCUACGGGAGGCUGCAGUGGGGAAUAUUGCGCAAUGGGCGAAAGCCUGACGCAGCGACGCCGCGUGGGUGAUGAAGGCCUUCGGGUUGUAAAGCCCUGUCGGGUGGAACGAACGAUCUGGCGGCGAAUAACCGCCGGGUGUGACGGUACCACCGAAGGAAGCCCCGGCUAACUACGUGCCAGCAGCCGCGGUAAGACGUAGGGGGCGAGCGUGGUUCGGAUUCGAUGGGCGGGAUGCGCGAGUAGGUUGCGACAUCCGUCGGCUUAACCGAGGACCCGCAUCCGAUACUGUCUGGCUCGAGUCUAGGAGAGGAAAGCGGAAUUCCCAGUGUAGCGGUGAAAUGCGUAGAUAUUGGGAGGAACACCGGUGGCGAAGGCGGCUUUCCGGACUAGUACUGACGCUGAGGCGCGAAAGCUAGGGGAGCGAACGGGAUUAGAUACCCCAGUAGUC